ACCCCUGUAGCUCAGUUCGGACAGAGCAAGGGAUUCCUAAUCCCUGAGCCGCCGGUUCGAGUCCGGCCAGGGGUGCCA
rnacentral:tRNA from 1 species